AUUACCGCGGCUGCUGGCACGGAGUUAGCCGGUGCUUCUUCUGUAGCUAACGUCAAUUGCAUGCACUUUUCAUACACACAACUUCCUCACUACCGAAAGUACUUUACAACCCGAAGGCCUUCUUCAUACACGCGGCAUGGCUGCAUCAGGGUUCCCCCCAUUGUGCAAUAUUCCCCACUGCUGCCUCCCGUAGGAG
rnacentral:rRNA from 1 species